AACGAACGCUGGCGGCAGGCCUAACACAUGCAAGUCGAGCGCCCUUUCGGGGGAGCGGCGGACGGGUGAGUAACGCGUGGGAAUAUGCCCUUCUCUACGGAAUAGCCUCGGGAAACUGAGAGUAAUACCGUAUACGCCCUAUGGGGGAAAGAUUUAUCGGGGAAGGAUUAGCCCGCGUUGGAUUAGGUAGUUGGUGGGGUAAUGGCCUACCAAGCCGACGAUCCAUAGCUGGUGUGAGAGGAUGGUCAGCCACACUGGGACGGAGACACGGCCCGGACUCCUACGGGAGGCAGCAGUGGCGAACCUUAGAAAGUGGUGGCAAGCCUGAUCCAGCCAUGCCGAGUUAGUGAUGAAGGCAUUAGGGUUGUAAAGCUCUAUCAGCUGGGAAGAUAAUGACGGUACCAGCAGAAGAAGCCCCGGCUAACUCCGUG
rnacentral:rRNA from 1 species